UACGUAGGGUGCGAGCGUUAAUCGGAAUUACUGGGCGUAAAGCGUGCGCAGGCGGUUUUGUAAGCCAGAUGUGAAAGCCCCGGGCUUAACCUGGGAAUGGCAUUUGGGACUGCAAGGCUGGAGUGUGGCAGAGGAGACUGGAAUUCCUGGUGUAGCAGUGAAAUGCGUAGAUAUCAGGAGGAAUACCGAUGGCGAAGGCGGUGGUCUGGGCCGGAACUGACGCUGAGGAGCGAAAGCGUGGGGAGCGAACAGG
rnacentral:rRNA from 1 species